rnacentral:snRNA from 1 species
AUUAUUAUGUUAUUGGUU